GUCCUACGGGAGGCAGCAGUGGGGAAUAUUGCACAAUGGGGGAAACCCUGAUGCAGCGACGCCGCGUGAGUGAAGGAGUAAUUCGUUAUGUAAAGCUCUAUCGGCAGGGAAGAAAAUGACGGCACCUGAGUAAGAAGCCCCGGCUAACUACGUGCCAGCAGCCGCGGGAAUACGUAGGGGGCAAGCGUUAUCCGGAUUUACUGGGUGUAAAGGGAGCGUAGACGGCAGUGCAAGUCUGGAGUGAAAGGCGGGGGGUCAAACCCCGGACU
rnacentral:rRNA from 1 species